CAUCUACCCUGGUGCACGACUCAGCUACCGUAUCUACAAUAAAUAAGUAAUUAAAUUAAAUUAAUUAAAAUAUAUAAAUGAUCAAUUCAAUAUGAAAUUAAUUUAAGGAUAGAAUUUUUAUCAAUCUCUCAGCCAUAACAUGUGUGCCAACGAAGCCGCUAGUGUACAGGAUCGAACACCACUGGGCGGAUCGAUUCUAUCGUGCCCUUUACCAUCAAUCAGAGUACUCCUUAGUACUCCACUGGUC
rnacentral:lncRNA from 1 species